UACGGGGGGGGCAAGCGUUGUUCGGAAUUACUGGGCGUAAAGGGCUCGUAGGCGGCCAACUAAGUCGGAUGUGAAAUCCCCAGGCUUAACCUGGGAACUGCAUCCGAUACUGGAUGGCUUGAAUCCGGGAGAGGGAUGCAGAAUUCCAGGUGUAGCGGUGAAAUGCGUAGAUAUCAGGAGGAACACCAAUGGCGAAGGCAGCUCGCUGGGACGUGACUGACGCUGAGACGCGAAAGCGUGGGGAGCAAACAGG
rnacentral:rRNA from 1 species